rnacentral:rRNA from 1 species
UACGGAAGGCAGCAGUGGGGAAUAUUGCACAAUGGGCGCAAGCCUGAUGCAGCCAUGCCGCGUGUAUGAAGAAGGCCUUCGGGUUGUAAAGUACUUUCAGCGGGGAGGAAGGCGAUGCGGUUAAUAACCGCGUCGAUUGACGUUACCCGCAGAAGAAGCACCGGCUAACUCCGUGCCAGCAGCCGCGGUAAUACGGAGGGUGCAAGCGUUAAUCGGAAUUACUGGGCGUAAAGCGCACGCAGGCGGUCUGUUAAGUCAGAUGUGAAAUCCCCCGGGCUUAACCUGGGAACUGCAUUUUGAAACUGGCAGGCUUGAGUCUUGUAGAGGGGGUAGAAUUCCAGGUGUAGCGGUGAAAUGCGUAGAGAUCUGGAGGAAUACCGGUGGCGAAGGCGGCCCCUGGGACAAAGCUGACGCUCAGGUGCGAAAGCGUGGGGAGCAAACAGGAUUAGGAUACC